GACGUAGGGCGCGAGCGUUGUCCGGAUUUAUUGGGCGUAAAGAGCUCGUAGGCGGUCUGUUGCGUCAGGAGUGAAAACUCGGGGCUUAACCCCGAGCCUGCUUCUGAUACGGGCAGACUAGAGGUAUGCAGGGGAGAACGGAAUUCCUGGUGUAGCGGUGAAAUGCGCAGAUAUCAGGAGGAACACCGGUGGCGAAGGCGGUUCUCUGGGCAUUACCUGACGCUGAGGAGCGAAAGUGUGGGGAGCGAACAGG
rnacentral:rRNA from 1 species